UCCUUGAUGGUCCAGUGGUUAGGACUAUGCACUUUCACUGCCAGGACCCAGGUUCAAUCCCUCGUCAGGGAA